rnacentral:lncRNA from 1 species
GGCUAGGGCUGGCUAAAAUGCUACCUCUGUGGUGCACAGAAACGCGCCCCUUGCACCAUACUGUGGCUGACAGGGGAUGGGGAAUGGGGGGAUGAUCAUAAUUCAAGACUUUUUUCUGCCUCUUCAGUGCUUCUUUCAGCGAUAUGAAGUUAAAACCAGCUCACCUGAUUGAGUGCUCACCUGAUUUUGGUUUUUAUGAAGGUGCUUUGUGUGUGUGUGUGCGCGCGCAUGUGUGUAUGUGUGUGUAGAUAGUUGUUACGUUGUUGUCCUUGCCCAGGGGGUUGUUGUGGGGAACGACUGGUGGAGCCUUCUAUUCUGCCGUCUUGCUCCACUAAUAAAGUAGAGCUUUUAACUUGUUUAUUGACCAUUGGAUAUCCCCACCAACAAUGUUUCUGUUCAACUCCCUUGACAUUUUUCCAUUUGCUUGGAUAAUUUUGUCUUAGUUGAAAUUUAUUGUAAAAGCAGGAUAUGAAUAUAUUUUCCCAUUAUGUACCUUGUUUUGCAUUUUGAGAUUCUUAAUUUAUGUAUUAUUAGUUAAAAGAGAAAUCAAUGUUUUAAUUUUUUCUUUAUUACUAAUUCUUUCUUUGUCCUGUUUAUGUGGCAAUGCACUUAUCCUGUUUGCAUGACACAUUCUUGGUUCAUGCCUCAGCAUAUUUGUUAAUAGCUCCUCCCUUUCUCUGUCAAAACUUGUUCCAGAUAGAACGUUGAAUUGCAUAGUCAUACUAUGUUUAAUACAUUUUUACCUUGAGUAUAAUGAUUUUUUCUUAUAUUAUUGUCUAAAAGAUGUGUCGUUUUCUCUUUUAUAUUUAUGUAAAAAUCCAUUUAGAAAAGUUUUUGUUUAUGUGAUAAGAAAAAGUAAAUUUACGUUAUUUUCUUCCACGGUUAAACAAUUGAUACAAUAUUAUUUAUUGAAAAUAUUAUCCUUUAUCUUUAUCCUUAUGCCACUUCAAUACAUUGCCAUAUGUUUAGUAAAUAAACUAAUCAGAAUAUUCUCAAGUCUAUUUCUGAUCUAUCCUGGUCCAUUGGUCUUUUUAUAUAUAUCCUAUAUAUCCUGAGUCAAUGCCAUGCUAUUUUAUUUAAUAUAGCUUUAUGAUGAGCUUUCAUAUCCAGGAAAGCAACAUUUUCCA